rnacentral:rRNA from 1 species
GAUCAUGGCUCAGGAUGAACGCUGGCGGCGUGCCUAACACAUGCAAGUCGAACGAAGCAUCUUACCGGAUUCUUCGGAUGAAAGUUUGGUGACUGAGUGGCGGACGGGUGAGUAACGCGUAUCCAACCUGCCCACCACUUGGGGAUAACCUUGCGAAAGUAAGACUAAUACCCAAUGAUAUCUCUAGAAGACAUCUGAAAGAGGUUAAAGAUUUAUCGGUGAUGGAUGGGGAUGCGU